AUUCGCAAUGUUCAAAGAUUUAAUAUCAAAAUCAUUGACUAUACUUGAUGUAAACGUUGAAGUCAUUCAUAGCCAUGUAAUCUGCAUGCCAGGUACAAGGACACCAGGGGUGCACCUGUGGUAUUUGUGGAUGCUGGAUUGUUGGAAUGGAAGAUUCCAGAUUUCAACAGUGAAAAAAUAGCACAAAUAUGUCUAUAUUUGCUUCAAUUUCCCAGACAAGUAAACAUCACGUACAGCGUUCGGUACACUGAUCUCUGAUAUUUACGUAUUGUUUGAAUGCCUGGUAGCUGUUGUUAAAAAUAUGGCAAUACGUAAGGUUCUUAACUAAUGCUGUAGUUGUUUCAAGCUGGGACUGUAUAAGUUACUUCUAUUGUUUUCUGUAUUUUGAAACCAGCAUUGACCUGGGACCAAGCGUUGAAUUCAAGCGCAAAUGCUUGUUGACCACUAACAAUAACUCACCCAAUUGGAUUUCUUGUGCAGAUCUAUAAACAUUUUUAUUUGCCACCUAUUAACCUUAUUCUGCUUUGAACUUCUUAAAGCACCAUACUUCAUAGUCUUCAGAAAUCAAAUUUUUAUUUGUUGUUUUGCAGCAUCUGUUUUA